rnacentral:ribozyme from 1 species
CAGUCUGGUAUACCUGCAGACAAGAAAGAACGCGUAGACGAGCCAACCUUGUUUGUCAACGCUCGAACACGACGGCACCGUCUCAUACUCUC